UGGCUUAAUUUGACUCAACGCGGGAAAUCUUACCGGGUCCGGACACACUGAGGAUUGACAGGUAACGUUAUACACACAUAUAUAUUUACUCUCGGGUAUUUGUACUUCGCUGUGUAUAUAUAAAAUAUGCUAGUCCUUUCAUGAUUAUGUGAUAGGUGGUGCAUGGCCGUUCUUAGUUCGUGGAGUGAUCUGUCUGCUUAAUUGCGUUUCACUAAGGAUCUAUAUUCAUAUUACGCAUAGCAUUUUGACCCCUUUAUGCUUCGGUAUAAAGCUGCGCGUCAAACCUUGCUAUCUGCGUAUAUUAGAUCCUGAAAGCAACGAACGUGACCGCAACCUCUUGUUGCCUUUAACUAGGUUUUGCUUACGUAUAGCUUCGGCUUUACGCUUUGCAUCUAAAAAGGCUGAUUUUCUAAACUAGAGGGACCGCUGUUACUUUCUUAAACCAGAGGAAGGUUGCGGCAAUAACAGGUCUGUGAUGCC
rnacentral:rRNA from 1 species